rnacentral:ncRNA from 2 species
CUCUUAUCCCGAGAUGGUGGAGGGACAGGCCCAAUGAAACCCAGCAACCUGCAUACUAAGAAAAUGUCUUAUAACUAGACAUUUUCUAGGCAAAGGUGCUUAACCUGAUGCAAGGCUAGUCCUUGAACGAUAAGAG